GUGCUCGCUUCCACAGCACAUAUACUAAAAUUGGAACAAUACAGAGAAGAUUAACA
rnacentral:snRNA from 14 species